rnacentral:misc_RNA from 1 species
GACAUCACAUGAUGUCAUUAGUUAGGUCUCCACCAAUCACAAAUCAACAAGCCAAUUAAAAAUAGUUAAAUGAGGGAAAAUUGGAAAGAGAAAUCUGCCUUCUUCUUCUUCCCAAAAACCAGCUGGAACUCCCUCUCUCUCCUGUCUCCGUUGAAUCUUUCCCUUCUCACUAAAAUUUCCUUAUAAAAAACACCAUAAAACCAUAAGUUUGCUUCACAAAAACUGCUCCUUACAUCUUGCACCAUCCCUAGGCAGCAAAAAGAAGGAGAGAUUGAGAAGUUUUACUAGCUUGACAACUCUUCAAAUUCAGGUUAGUGCCUAAUAUUUCAUCUUUCUUUUUUAUUUUUUGUUUAAG